GGUCCGCAACAGAACAGCUGCCAUACCAUAUUGAGAUGCAGUUGGUAAGGAUGCUCUCGAUGGUGCAGCUAAGCGAUGGAAGUUCACCAGAAUCUGAGGAGACAGAUGGGCCUCUUACUAUGUUGUACUUGUCCAUGCAUAUCAUUUAAAAAAAAUCCUCUGGUCCAUAUGUUUUCAGACCCUCCCAUGGUGUAACAUAGCAACUUUUAUGAGAGAAAUGAUAAAAAAUAAAUUAAUUCGGCUUUAAAUGUUUUUUUUUUUGUUUAUACCAAAAACAGUAUAUAAGUUGUAAGGACAUACAAUUACUUUCAAUAAACACAAUAAAAUGGCUUUCAAAAUUUGAACAAAUAUUAGGCGAUAUUUAUUUAAACAUAUCCCAGCCAGCUGAAAUAGUAGUGGAAGUUUGAAAGAAAAAACUUGAACUUGAACAAUACUCUGCUGCCCUCUUGCGCAUUGUUUAUGUAGUAACAUGUAGGCCUACUUGGGAUACAGACAUGCGUGUUGCAAAAUGUCAUUCCCACUUCGGCCACUAGUCUGUGCCAUGUGAUGUCUGCUAUUUUUCUGUUGUGUGUGCAGAUGUUGGUUUUCCUCAGUCGGUACAUUUCUCAAAUCUUCCUCAACAUUUUCAAAACAGUACGUGCAUGUCUCGUUACAAUUUGUUUAAUCAGCACCACACAACGUAUUACCUGCCAAAGCCCAUAACCUGCUCAAAAUCCUUAGUUUAUGUCUCAAAAGCAAAUAUUUAUGUCAAUGAACAUGUCAGUGCCUUCAGAAUGCAAAGUCCUCAUGUCCUAGUUCACGAACAAGACAGUCAAAAAGUUGUCAACAUAACAGUAAACCCUGGAGGUGUUCCAACUUUUCAUUUUACUGUCUAUCUCUUUCACUAACAAUUAUUGAUCAUUAGCACUUGUGUUCAACUAACUGAAUACUAUUUUGUAUACGUUGAAUUUAAUCCAUGUCAUGAAUUUCAACACAACAACAAGUUUCCAAGUGGUUGUAUACCGUAAAAUUAGAGUUGAAGGAAACUGGACAGUUCCCUCAUUUACAACCGAAACAAUAGGAACAUCUUCUUGCAUGCCUCAAACAUUCUUUAUGAACCAGUUUUUUUGACAGUAUACAAUCACUGAUGGUCAUAGACAUUUCACCUUCAUUAAAAACUCUCGUAUUGGCAAAAGACGAGAAGAAUAGAUGUAACAAACAAUAAAUAACAUUUCUUGAGGCCACAAAACUAUUCCCUGACUUUGUUUGUGUGGCAAACGUUUUCAUUGACAGAAAUGAUUACACACAAUUAUUACAACUAAUUUGUCUACAGUUGUAAGGCUCUAACUGGUAGGCAGGGAAUUGUAAAAACACACAUGGCAAUCUAGAUACAAUUACUCAUUAGGUGUGGGUCAGUUGUGUACAGAUGAUGCCUCUAAAGCAUUCCAGAACUGCAUUGUUCCAUUAGGUUGACUUUCCCACACCCCUGCUGGUGUUCUUAUCUCUAUCACCUGUCUCUGGGUUUCUCCCUGUGCUUUUCCACGCAAGGGUUAAAAUAAGGGCAGGAAAAUGGAUCUAAGAGUACUAAGUGCGGUAUUGCAUUAGAAGAUGAUUUCUUUGUCAUGUUUGGGUUCAUUUGAAUUACCUCAGUCUGAGUGGUACAGUGGUCUCAGUCCUGCAGCUGAAUAGAUUCGUUUUAACAUGGAUCUCAGAAACAUGGGAUUUCUGGUCUGUGUGGGCAGCAGGUACCUACUCUCUGGAGGUGACAUACCCCCCCUCUGGAGGUGACAAACCUCUCCAUUUGUUUGUGUGACUGUGUGAUCCCUAUCAGUAAACACCACAUUC
ensembl:lncRNA